rnacentral:rRNA from 1 species
AGAGUUUGAUCCUGGCUCAGGAUGAACGCUGGCGGCGUGCCUAAUACAUGCAAGUCGAACGCGGGCACUUGUGCCCGAGUGGCGAACGGGUGAGUAAUACAUAAGUAACCUGGCCUUUACAGGGGGAUAACUGCUGGAAACGGCAGCUAAGACCGCAUAGGUAGGGACACUGCAUGGUGACCGUAUUAAAAGUGCUGCAAGGCACUGGUAGAGGAUGGACUUAUGGCGCAUUAGCUGGUUGGUGAGGUAACGGCUCACCAAGGCGACGAUGCGUAGCCGACCUGAGAGGGUGACCGGCCACACUGGGACUGAGACACGGCCCAGACUCCUACGGGAGGCAGCAGUAGGGAAUUUUCGGCAAUGGGGGAACCCUGACCGAGCAACGCCGCGUGAAGGAAGAAGGAAUUCGUUCUGUAAACUUCUGUUAUAAAGGAAGAAAGACGGAUGGAGGAAAUGACAUCCGAGUGACGGUACUUUAUGAGAAAGCCACGGCUAACUACGUG